rnacentral:rRNA from 1 species
AACGCUAGCUACAGGCUUAACACAUGCAAGUCGAGGGGAAACGACAUCGAAAGCUUGCUUUUGAUGGGCGUCGACCGGCGCACGGGUGAGUAACGCGUAUCCAACCUGCCCACCACUUGGGGAUAACCUUGCGAAAGUAAGACUAAUACCCGAUGAUAUCUCUAGAAGACAUCUGAAAGGGAUUAAAGAUUUAUCGGUGAUGGAUGGGGAUGCGUCUGAUUAGCUUGUUGGCGGGGUAACGGCCCACCAAGGCAACGAUCAGUAGGGGUUCUGAGAGGAAGGUCCCCCACAUUGGAACUGAGACACGGUCCAAACUCCUACGGGAGGCAGCAGUGAGGAAUAUUGGUCAAUGGGCGAGAGCCUGAACCAGCCAAGUAGCGUGCAGGACGACUGCCCUAUGGGUUGUAAACUGCUUUUAUAAGGGAAUAAAGUGAGUCUCGUGAGGCUUUUUGCAUGUACCUUAUGAAUAAGGACCGGCUAAUUCCGUGCCAGCAGCCGCGGUAAUACGGAAGGUCCGGGCGUUAUCCGGAUUUAUUGGGUUUAAAGGGAGCGUAGGCCGGAGAUUAAGCGUGUUGUGAAAUGUAGACGCUCAACGUCUGCACUGCAGCGCGAACUGGUUUCCUUGAGUACGCACAAAGUGGGCGGAAUUCGUGGUGUAGCGGUGAAAUGCUUAGAUAUCACGAAGAACUCCGAUUG